CGCCUCACCGCGUGCACUGGUCCGGCCGGGCCUUUCCUUCUGAGGAGCCGCAUGCCCUUCACUGGGUGUGUCGGGGAAUCAGGACUUUUACUCUGAAAAAAUUAGAGUGUUCAAAGCAGGCCUAUGCUCGAAUACAUUAGCAUGGAAUAAUAGAAUAGGACGUGUGGUUCUAUUUUGUUGGUUUCUAGGACCGCCGUAAUGAUUAAUAGGGAUAGUCGGGGGCAUCAGUAUUCAAUUGU
rnacentral:rRNA from 1 species